CGCCGCCGCCGCCGCCCAUGCCGGCUGCUUCCGGCGCCUCCGGCGCAGCGCGGCACGCCCCAAGCUGCCGACGGUCCGCGCCUCCCUCCCCUCCACCCAGACUCUCUGCUCCCGGCCUCUACAGCCCGCUCGCAACCACACACCCAUGGCUAGGGUUUCGGGCAUGGCUUCGCCGGCGUGUCUCCGGUGGUCCCAGUUGGGGCACGCCAUGGGAGUUCCCCAUCCAUCACGGUCGCCGUUGUCAAGGGAUUCUUCAAGGAGAUGUCAAGGACGCCAUGGACAUGCAGCUCCUCAAGAUCAAUUAAGGAAUCAAUCUCAUGAUGGUUGAUGCUUGAUGCAGCGGAGGAUUGGGCCUCGCAUUAUUUUUUCCAGAAUUGGGUGUGGGUACUCUCUAAACUGGAUUGAGUGAGCUAAAUCUGUGCAUCAAAAUUGUAGUCUGUAGCUUUAUGUGU